rfam:Schistosoma mattheei strain Denwood, Zambia genome assembly, scaffold: SMTD_scaffold0010741
AUCUAGCUGACCAGUCCCAAAUAAGACGAAACAUGAGUCUUGGAU